GUUUGAUCCUGGCUCAGGAUGAACGCUGGCGGCGUGCUUAACACAUGCAAGUCGAACGAUGAACCUCACUUGUGGGGGGAUUAGUGGCGAACGGGUGAGUAACACGUGAGUAACCUGCCCUUGACUUUGGGAUAAGCCUGGGAAACUGGGUCUAAUACCGGAUAUGACUCCUCAUCGCAUGGUGGGGGGUGGAAAGCUUUUUUGUGGUUUUGGGAUGGACUCGCGGCCCUAUCAGCGUGAGGGAUGACGGCCUUCGGGUUGUAAACCUCUUUCAGUAGAGAAGAAGCGAAAGUGACGGUACCUGCAGAAGAAGCGCCGGCUAACUACGUGCCAGCAGCCGCGGUAAUACGUAGGGCGCAAGCGUUAUCCGGAAUUAUUGGGCGUAAAGAGCUCCGUAGGCGGUUUGUCGCGUCUGCCGUGAAAGUCCGGGGCUCAACUCCGGAUCUGCGGUGGGUACGGGCAGACUAGAGUGAUGUAGGGGAGACUGGAAAUUCCUGGUGUAGCGGUGAAAUGCGCAGAUAUCAGGAGGAACACCGAUGGCGAAGGCAGGUCUCUGGGCAUUAACUGACGCUGAGGAGCGAAAGCAUGGGGAGCGAACAGGAUUAGAUACCCUGGUAGUCCAUGCCGUAAACGUUGGGCACUAGGUGUGGGGGACAUUCCACGUUUUCCGCGCCGUAGCUAACGCAUUAAGUGCCCCGCCUGGGGAGUACGGCCGCAAGGGCUAAAACUCAAAGGAAUUGACGGGGGCCCGCACAAGCGGCGGAGCAUGCGGAUUAAUUCGAUGCAACGCGAAGAACCUUACCAAGGCUUGACAUGGACUGGAAAUACCUGGAAACAGGUGCCCCGCUUGCGGUCGGUUCACAGGUGGUGCAUGGUUGUCGUCAGCUCGUGUCGUGAGAUGUUGGGUUAAGUCCCGCAACGAGCGCAACCCUCGUUCUAUGUUGCCAGCGCGUGAUGGCGGGGACUCAUAGGAGACUGCCGGGGUCAACUCGGAGGAAGGUGGGGACGACGUCAAAUCAUCAUGCCCCUUAUGUCUUGGGCUUCACGCAUGCUACAAUGGCCGGUACAAAGGGUUGCGAUACUGUGAGGUGGAGCUAAUCCCAAAAAGCCGGUCUCAGUUCGGAUUGGGGUCUGCAACUCGACCCCAUGAAGUCGGAGUCGCUAGUAAUCGCAGAUCAGCAACGCUGCGGUGAAUACGUUCCCGGGCCUUGUACACACCGCCCGUCAAGUCACGAAAGUUGGUAACACCCGAAGCCGGUGGCCUAACCCCCUUGUGGGGAGGGAGCUGUCGAAGGUGGGACUGGCGAUUGGGACUAAGUCGUAACAAGGUAGCCGUACCGGAAGGUGCGGCUGGA
rnacentral:rRNA from 1 species